rnacentral:rRNA from 1 species
AGGCAGCAGUGGGGAAUCUUGGACAAUGGGCGCAAGCCUGAUCCAGCCAUGCCGCGUGAGUGAUGAAGGCCCUAGGGUCGUAAAGCUCUUUCGCCAGGGAUGAUAAUGACAGUACCUGGUAAAGAAACCCCGGCUAACUCCGUGCCAGCAGCCGCGGUAAUACGGAGGGGGUUAGCGUUGUUCGGAAUUACUGGGCGUAAAGCGCGCGUAGGCUGACUAUUAAGUCAGAGGUGAAAUCCCGGGGCUCAACCCCGGAACUGCCUUUGAUACUGGUAGUCUUGAGUUCGAGAGAGGUGAGUGGAAUUCCGAGUGUAGAGGUGAAAUUCGUAGAUAUUCGGAGGAACACCAGUGGCGAAGGCGGCUCACUGGCUCGAUACUGACGCUGAGGUGCGAAAGUGUGGGGAGCAAACAGGAUUAGAUACCCUGGUAGUCCACACCGUAAACGAUGAAUGCCAGUCGUCGGGUAGCAUGCUACUCGGUGACACACCUAACGGAUUAAGCA